rnacentral:lncRNA from 1 species
AAUUUGUACUGUUUGAAAAGUUAAAAUGCUUUCUUGACAAAAAAUUAGGAAGUGCUGUUUUGUGCAAUGCUGGCACUACAAUUCAGAAUUCUUUUCCAGAUGAGCUAUGCCAUUGUGGAGUUCACUGCCUCUAAAGAGGUUGAAAUUGUGCCAACUACUUGGGUCACCGGGAGCAUGUGUGUCUGGCCGCAUAAUGUAAAAGUGGAGAAGGCUGGGAAAAUGGCACGGAAACAGCAUCCACCACAGUCAUGGUGGAAGCAGUAUGAAAUUGCUGUGAAAGGUUUGUUUGUUACCUAUGAACAUGCCCGGAAAAAGCUAAAUGACAGUCAGUUCCAUUCAGACCUGGCCAGUGAAACUGAAAUGCCCCCAUUGAAGAGGCGUAGACGGCCACCAGCAGCCUGGAGCAACUCUGACAGUGAAGAGGAGGAGGGAGAAACUGCCACAAGCCAGCCAAGACUGCCAGCCAUUCCAAAUAAUUUUCCGUCUGGAAAAACCUCGAGUGAAGCAACAAGUCUGCCCACAUUUGGCCAAGGAGACAAAGGCACACCAGGUAUUCUCACACAUAUACAGCUGCCUCAUUACAAAAUUAAGAUUUAUGUGCAUAUUUAUUAUUUUUUGUGUGUAACAAAUUUAACUUUCUGUGGUUCUAACCUAUAGGUUAGAACCACAGAUAGCUGUAAAGCUUCUUAAGAGCCAUGCAUAGAUGAAUUCUCAAGCAUUGUAGAAGUAAGAUGAAGCAAAAUAUGUUAACCUCCAUAAUUCAGUUUUAUAAUUGAACUAGUAAACCUUUGCUAUUGGUAAUUUUCUUUGCUCUGCUAGGCUCUUUGUCACUAUCUGUUGCAUAUCAUAU